UACGUAGGGGGCUAGCGUUAUCCGGAAUUACUGGGCGUAAAGGGUGCGUAGGUGGUUUCUUAAGUCAGAGGUGAAAGCCCACGGCUUAACCGUGGAGGGUCAUUGGAAACUGGUUGACUUGAGUGCAGAAGAGGGAAGUGGAAUUCCAUGUGUAGCGGUGAAAUGCGUAGAGAUAUGGAGGAACACCAGUGGCGAAGGCGGCUUCCUGGUCUGCAACUGACACUGAGGCGCGAAAGCGUGGGGAGCAAACAGG
rnacentral:rRNA from 1 species